UGCCCAGGGAUGGGAAUCGAACCCACUGUGUUCCGCUUACCGGGCAGAUGCCAUGUCCACUAGGCUACCCUGGAC
rnacentral:tRNA from 1 species